CAGCCAGUGGAUCAAGCCCCUGAAGAGCUCGACGUAGAGGGCGUAUAGCGCCUUUGGCAGCAUGAGAACCAAGCCAAGGUGUGUGUCUCCAAGCAACAUUACCAUCACUACCAGCUACAACUUUGUGAGCAGCAACAACUAACUCAAUUAACCACUUGUUAGGUACCAUUUGCCACAAAACAAAGCAUCCUUUUUGUGAAAUAGUACUAGCAGGUGAACUAGUAUCCACUAUAGCCAUUGAUACCUUUCCACUUACAUACAUAUUCUUUACUACCCCUUGUAUCUUCCUACACCCACUUGCUGCUCUGAAGUGUUCAAUUAUGUAUUCAGCUGAUGACGAUACUUGAGAAAUGGGUAUUUUAGGAUUGGAAGAAACAGGGAAAAGAGGGCAUCCAAGAACACUUAG
rnacentral:misc_RNA from 1 species